CAGUCGCCACGGUAACACGUAGGUGGCAAGCGUUGUCCGGAUUUAUUGGGCGUAAAGCGAGCGCAGGCGGUUUCUUAAGUCUGAUGUGAAAGCCCCCGGCUCAACCGGGGAGGGUCAUUGGAAACUGGGAAACUUGAGUGCAGAAGAGGAGAGUGGAAUUCCAUGUGUAGCGGUGAAAUGCGUAGAUAUAUGGAGGAACACCAGUGGCGAAGGCGGCUCUCUGGUCUGUAACUGACGCUGAGGCUCGAAAGCGUGGGGAGCAAACAGGAUUAGAGACCCCAGUAGUCCCUGUCUCUUAUAC
rnacentral:rRNA from 1 species